rnacentral:misc_RNA from 1 species
GAUGAAGAACGCAGCGAAAUGCGAUAAGUAAUGUGAAUCGCAGAAUUCAGUGAAUCAUCGAAUCUUUGAACGCACAUUGCGCCCCCUGGUAUUCCGGGGGGCAUGCCUGUUCGAGCGUCAUUUCACCACUCAAGCCUCGCUUGGUAUUGGGCAACGCGGUCCGCCGCGUGCCUCAAAUCGACCGGCUGGGUCUUCUGUCCCCUAAGCGUUGUGGAAACUAUUCGCUAAAGGGUGUUCGGGAGGCUACGCCGUAAAACAACCCCAUUUCUAAGGUUGACCUCGGAUCAGGUAGGGAUACCCGCUGAACUUAAGCAUAUCAAUAAGCGGAGGA